UACGUAGGCAGCAAGCGUUGUUCGGAGUUACUGGGCGUAAAGCGUGCGCAGGCGGUUUUGUAAGCCAGAUGUGAAAUCCCCGGGCUUAACCUGGGAAUGGCAUUUGGGACUGCAAGGCUUGAGUGCGGCAGAGGAGACUGGAAUUCCUGGUGUAGCAGUGAAAUGCGUAGAUAUCAGGAGGAACACCGAUGGCGAAGGCAGGUCUCUGGGCUGACACUGACGCUCAUGCACGAAAGCGUGGGGAGCAAACAGG
rnacentral:rRNA from 1 species